rnacentral:rRNA from 1 species
GCUACAAUGGCGCAUACAAAGAGAAGCGACCUCGCGAGAGCAAGCGGACCUCAUAAAGUGCGUCGUAGUCCGGAUUGGAGUCUGCAACUCGACUCCAUGAAGUCGGAAUCGCUAGUAAUCGUGGAUCAGAAUGCCACGGUGAAUACGUUCCCGGGCCUUGUACACACCGCCCGUCACACCAUGGGAGUGGGUUGCAAAAGAAGUAGGUAGCUUAACCUUCGGGAGGGCGCUUACCACUUUGUGAUUCAUGACUGGGGUGAAGUCGUAACAAGGUAACCGUAGGGGAACCUGCGGUUGGAUCACCUCCUU